UUUGAGCAAGACUCCCACCUCCUAAGUGCCA
rnacentral:piRNA from 1 species